ACCACCCACCACCCCCAUCCAUCAUAUCCGAAAGUCUUCACCAAGCAAACAAAAACGAAAGAAAGGGAAACCAAACCACAAUGAAAUGAGAAAUGAGAACAUUUUAUAAAAAUUUGAAUAACUUUUGCACUUGGAAAACGAAAACCAAAAAAAAAACCAAAAACAAAACCAAAACCAAAAACAUAUAUAAAAUAUAUACAAGAAAAGAAUUAUUAAGUAGAGAGUAGAUGCAUUCGUCAUACAUACAUUUAUCCGCUUGAUUCUAGGUCUAAAGAUCAUUCCACACACGUGCAUACGUGUAAAAGACUGUAAAAGAUGAAUUAAACUUUUCAUUUUCAUUCCGCAGUUGUAGAUUUCCUUUAGACGUAUAAAUUCCUAAACGAUUCGUGCCUUUAUCGGAAAAGUCAGAGCAGGAGAAAAAGAUAAUUCAAGUGGAGUAAAUCUUUUCUUUCGCAUAAGAGAAAUUCGUAUGAUAAGUUAAGUGUAGAUUUUCCUUAGUGAAUGUUAAAUGGGAUCAACAAUUCGUCGUCAGGCAUUUAUCUAUGUUCCGAAAACACACACACACACACACACACACAAAAGAAAACAAACUCUAACUUGAACUUUAACUUGAAUUAUUUACAUUAAGAACUUGUUCCAUUCCAAACAAAAACAAACUAAUUUGCCAAGCCAAACAAGAAAUAUAAAGAUAUAGCGAACCAGAUAUAGGAACAGCACUCAGAAUCCAGCAAAGUAGAAUAUUCGAAGAAGCCAAAAAAGAGCGCAACUGACUUGAGAGUAUUAAUACCAAUGUACUUUAGCAGAUGUACACACAGAUUUACAUGCAGUUUACAGACACGAAGAGAUUAACCCAAAGAUUCAAGUAAAGUAAAAUGCAAUCCAAGGCCUAACUAUACUCGUUUGUACACAUUCUACAUAUACA
rnacentral:lncRNA from 1 species